GAUGAACGCUGGCGGCGUGCCUAAUACAUGCAAGUCGAGCGAACAGACGAGGAGCUUGCUCCUCUGACGUUAGCGGCGGACGGGUGAGUAACACGUGGAUAACCUACCUAUAAGACUGGGAUAACUUCGGGAAACCGGAGCUAAUACCGGAUAAUAUCUUGAACCGCAUGGUUCAAUAGUGAAAGACGGUUUUGCUGUCACUUAUAGAUGGAUCCGCGCCGCAUUAGCUAGUUGGUAAGGUAACGGCUUACCAAGGCAACGAUGCGUAGCCGACCUGAGAGGGUGAUCGGCCACACUGGAACUGAGCCACGGUCCAGACUCCUACGGGAGGCAGCAGUAGGGAAUCUUCCGCAAUGGGCGAAAGCCUGACGGAGCAACGCCGCGUGAGUGAUGAAAGUCUUCGGAGCGUGAAACUCUGUUAUUAGGGAAGAACAGAUGUGUAAGUAACUAUGCACGUCGUGACGGUACCUAAUCAGAAAGCCACGGCUAACUACGUG
rnacentral:rRNA from 1 species